rnacentral:rRNA from 1 species
CACGGUAAACGAUGGAUGCCCGCUGUUUGCGAUAUAUUGUAAGCGGCCGAGCGAAAGCGUUAAGCAUCCCACCUGGGGAGUACGCCGGCAACGGUGAAACUCAAAGGAAUUGACGGGGGCCCGCACAAGCGGAGGAACAUGUGGUUUAAUUCGAUGAUACGCGAGGAACCUUACCCGGGCUUGAACUGCAGCAGAACGACUCAGAGAUGGUGAGGCCCUUCGGGGCUGCUGUGGAGGUGCUGCAUGGUUGUCGUCAGCUCGUGCCGUGAGGUGUCGGCUUAAGUGCCAUAACGAGCGCAACCCCUUUCGCCAGUUGCCAUCAGGUGAUGCUGGGCACUCCGGCGACACUGCCACCGCAAGGUGUGAGGAAGGUGGGGAUGGCGUCAAAUCAGCACGGCCCUUACGUCCGGGGCUACACACGUGUCACAAUGGGGAGUACAGAGAGUCAGCGUCCGGCAACGUCCGCUUAAUCUAGAAAGCUCUCCUCAGUUCGGAUUGGGGUCUGCAACCCGACC